GACGAACGCUGGCGGCGUGCUUAACACAUGCAAGUCGAACGGAAAGGCCCUUCGGGGUACUCGAGUGGCGAACGGGUGAGUAACACGUGGGUGAUCUGCCCUGCACUUUGGGAUAAGCCUGGGAAACUGGGUCUAAUACCGAAUAGGACUGCGCUCUUCAUGGGGUGUGGUGGAAAGCUUUUGCGGUGUGGGAUGGGCCCGCGGCCUAUCAGCUUGUUGGUGGGGGAAUGGCCUACCAAGGCGACGACGGGUAGCCGGCCUGAGAGGGUGACCGGCGACACUGGGACUGAGGUACGUCCCAGACUCCAACGGGAGGCAGCAGUGGGGAAUAUUGCACAAUGGGCGCAAGCCUGAUGCAGCGACGCCGCGUGAGGGAUGACGGCCUUCGGGUUGUAAACCUCUUUCAGUAGGGACGAAGCGCAAGUGACGGUACCUAUAGAAGAAGGACCGGCCAACUACGUGCCAGCCGCCGCCGUAA
rnacentral:rRNA from 1 species